rnacentral:rRNA from 1 species
GACGAACGCUGGCGGCGUGCUUAACACAUGCAAGUCGAACGGAAAGGCCCUGCUUGCAGGGUACUCGAGUGGCGAACGGGUGAGUAACACGUGGGUGAUCUGCCCUGCACUUCGGGAUAAGCCUGGGAAACUGGGUCUAAUACCGGAUAGGACCAUCGUUUAGUGUCGGUGGUGGAAAGAUUUUUCGGUGCAGGGUGAGCCCGCGGCCUAUCAGCUUGUUGGUGGGGUAAUGGCCUACCAAGGCGGCGACGGGUAGCCGGCCGGGGAGGGUGGACGGCCACAUGGGGACGGGGACACGGCCCAGACUCCUACGGGAGGCAGCAGUGGGGAAUAUUGCACAAUGGGCGCAAGCCUGAUGCAGCGACGCCGCGUGGGGGAUGACGGCCUUCGGGUUGUAAACUCCUUUCAGCCAUGACGAAGCUGGCCUUGUUGGGUCAGUGACGGUAGUGGUAGAAGAAGCACCGGCUAACUACGUGCCAGCCGCCGCCGUAA